rnacentral:lncRNA from 13 species
UCUUGGUCCACAUGGAUCAAAAGUGAAGCCACAGGAAAAAGCAGCUCAUGUCUCAUUACUGUGGCAGAGGUUUGGACACUCCCAGUGGGCUCUCUGCUGCUCCUCCUCCUGCUGGCUAUUGCAGCAGGUUCCUGGAGUCAGACAAUGCAUUAUCAUGCGGAUUACACUGAUUAGCUCUAAGUCAGUUAGGUAACAGGAACUCUUUUAACGGUGUCCUAGAAUUCUGUCAGGUUGACUGUUCAAACACUGGUUUUUGGGAUCCCCUCCAGCAUUCCUUAAUGUAAUCCAGGCAUGUCAUUGCAGGUUCUAUUUGAGAGGGGCUACUUACUUGUCACUUAGAAUAUUUUCAGUUUUAAGUCAAAACCUUCUCAGGAAAAAAAAAAAGUGAAAGAUAUGAGAGCCCAUGUAGGAGAGGCAGAGAAGAACAAAAUGCAGAAGUAAAUCAAAUGCCAGACUUACAUUAAGUGCACGUUUGCUCCGGGGAAUGGGGUUUCUGUUUUGUUUUACAUAGAAACUGCGAUGAUUUUGCACUGUUUUGGUAACUACUGAGUAACUACUAAGUCACUACUGUGAUCCAGUGAAUUCAAAGGCAGAGGAACACAGGAAGAGUGCAGGUCUGAGCUGCUUAACAGGCUCAGAGAUAUGUGUCUGUGUUUGACCCUCAGUGGGAGGAAGGGGCAUAGGCUACUGGUAGAUGCCCAGUUUUACCAUAUUAUGCUGUUGGACUGGAUACUAUUAAGAAGACAGGCACAUUUCUGGGUGCCAGGGAAGAGGCAGUGGUUCCAGAUGAGUCAGACUGCUGUUGUCACCUCCUCCCUGCUGGAAAGACAAGACUCAGCAGCUCCUUGGAGAUGUUCAGAACUUGGGGUGAAGGCAUUAAGAGCGGUUGGAGCUGUCUCACGAUGCUGCCAACUUCCACAGCCUUCUGGAGAAACCAACUCAGCUACAGGGUAAAAUCUGGGGGAAAUUCACCUGUCUGAUGCAAAGUUAAACUGCUGGCUUUAAUGUGACUGCAUGGGAACUUGGGUUUAUUAAUGAAUACAACAUACCCUCUUUGAUUUGAAAGCUUUCACCCUGCUGAAAAGAUUCAAAAGGCAUCGCUUCCUGCACCAGCGGCAUUCCUUUAUCCGUCUCAGUGGUUCACCCCUACCCAGCUGCUAUAUCUCAUUAACAAGCAUUUGACCACUGCAGCCGGCCUGGGAGUGUUGACACUUGAAAAGCCCAGGCAGGCGUGGGCAGGCCAUCAGCUAUGGCAACAGGAAACUGCCCCGGAGACAACACUGAGAAAACAGCAGCUGCAAAAGCCAAAGUCAGAACAGACAUAAAGGGCUGCCUAUAUCCACGUUGGUCUGGGGUAUCGGUGCCUGUCUGUGGGUCUGAAUCCACACAUCUAUUUACUGUAUUCAUGGGAUAGAAAGGUUGCUAUCAGCAUGUAUCAGAGUCAGGACUUUUUGACAACCCAGAAUAAUUUUUUUUACGACUUACGAUGUUCUUGGAUCCUUAGGUUUCUUAUUCUCCUAAUAACUUAAAUUCUUGUUUGUGUACAUAAGACUAUUCACCAGAGGCCUCAAACUUGAUACACACCUUUACUCCAGUGGAAGUCAUAUGCACAAUUUAAAAAAUGUAUAUGCAUGAACGCUUAUGCAUUUUUCAGGCUAUCACAUUAUUUUUUAAGAACAAGUCAACUUGUGAGACUGUCAUAUAAUUAUAUUAAGACUACUUUAAAAGCCUUUGGUUUAGGAAUCAAACUGUGAUGGUUUUGUGUAAAAUAUUUCAGAAUGAAAGUAUUGUUUCAAUUGUGUAACUUUGGCUCACAAAAUUAAGUGGGAUAUCUCAUAUAAUCAUUGAUUAUGAUAAUUUUAAAUACCUAUUUUAAUAUCAUUUAUUGACUAUUCAUUUAAUUGUAGGCCUUUCAAUGCUAUAAGUGUUGUUUCUACAUUGAUCAGAAGAGCUUAAAGUAUAGACUGUCUCAUGUAAUGUUUUGAGCAAGUAGUUUUCCAUAUCGUGUGUGUCCUUUUGAAGCCUAUAAAAGCAUUUUUAGUGGCUAGGUAAGCAAUAGUUCAAAAUCAAUGUUUUCCAUCUAUAAAGAAAAUAACCCUUUUUAAAACAAGAAAAAGAGAUCACUCUAUAAUAGCAGAAAAAAGCUAAAUGAAAAAAGACACUAAUGCAGUGUGUUACAAGUGAAGUUAGUGGUCUGCCAUUCAAAGAGUGGUGAAUUAUUUUCCUGUCAUUGUCAGUACAAUAGACAAUCAGUGAUGAUCACAUUGAAGUAUACCAUUACUUUAUUCAUUUGAGUAAUUCAGGUUUAUGUACGUUUGCCUAUCACUCAUCAUAAAAGCUCUUUUAAUUUCACAUUGUUACUCUAAGGUAGUUAAUUAGAUUUUUUAAAAGAUGUGAAUGUAUUUUAAAUUAUCACAGCUUGUUUUUUCGAGAUGUUGGAAUAUGCUUCUUGGGUGCAGUAAAUUUUUCAGUUCUACCUUCAUCCACCUUUUACACUCCAGGGGAAGAGAAGACUGUACCAGCCGCAUCUUCCUGAAAGCCAUUAAGAUAUUUACAUUUGAUGUCAUAGGGGUUCACGUUCAUUUCUGAUAGGCAGGAUGAUGCCCAGGCACUGGAAACAGCUUGGGAGCAACUCUCAGUUCUGCUGCCCACCAGCAAAGUGAACCUUGAGUGAGGGACUUCAAGUUUCUGUGCCUCAGACUCCCAGUCUAUUAAAUAGUGGUAAGAUGAAUAGUACUUAAUUCAUAGGCUGGUAUAAGGAUUAGAUGGAUGUACACACACAUCACACAUACACUUCAGAGUGCCUUUCUCCUAAGCAGUCUAUAACUGCUGCUAUUAAUACCAACCUCUUUUCUCACCAUAUCACACUUUAUCCCUUUAUAGUGAUUUAUAUUUCCAUAGAACUUAUUUUAUAUUGUUAUAUGUGAGUGUUGACUUAUUUAUUUUAUAAUAAAACCCUUUCUUGUCUUCCCCUAAGACA